rnacentral:tRNA from 1 species
AGGCUUGUAGCUCAGGUGGUUAGAGCGCACCCCUGAUAAGGGUGAGGUCGAUGGUUCAAGUCCACUCAGGCCUA